rnacentral:rRNA from 1 species
ACGAACGCUGGCGGCGUGCCUAAUACAUGCAAGUAGAACGCUGAAGAGAGGAGCUUGCUCUUCUUGGAUGAGUUGCGAACGGGUGAGUAACGCGUAGGUAACCUGCCUUGUAGCGGGGGAUAACUAUUGGAAACGAUAGCUAAUACCGCAUAACAAUGGAUGACCCAUGUCAUUUAUUUGAAAGGGGCAAAUGCUCCACUACAAGAUGGACCUGCGUUGUAUUAGCUAGUAGGUGAGGUAACGGCUCACCUAGGCGACGAUACAUAGCCGACCUGAGAGGGUGAUCGGCCACACUGGGACUGAGACACGGCCCAGACUCCUACGGGAGGCAGCAGUAGGGAAUCUUCGGCAAUGGGGGCAACCCUGACCGAGCAACGCCGCGUGAGUGAAGAAGGUUUUCGGAUCGUAAAGCUCUGUUGUAAGUCAAGAACGAGUGUGAGAGUGGAAAGUUCACACUGUGACGGUAGCUUACCAGAAAGGGACGGCUAACUACGUGCCAGCAGCCGCGGUAAUACGUAGGUCCCGAGCGUUGUCCGGAUUUAUUGGGCGUAAAGCGAGCGCAGGCGGUUUGAUAAGUCUGAAGUUAAAGGCUGUGGCUCAACCAUAGUUCGCUUUGGAAACUGUCAAACUUGAGUGCAGAAGGGGAGAGUGGAAUUCCAUGUGUAGCGGUGAAAUGCGUAGAUAUAUGGAGGAACACCGGUGGCGAAAGCGGCUCUCUGGUCUGUAACUGACGCUGAGGCUCGAAAGCGUGGGGAGCGAACAGGAUUAGAUACCCUGGUAGUCCACGCCGUAAACGAUGAGUGCUAGGUGUUGGAUCCUUUCCGGGAUUCAGUGCCGCAGCUAACGCAUUAAGCACUCCGCCUGGGGAGUACGACCGCAAGGUUGAAACUCAAAGGAAUUGACGGGGGCCCGCACAAGCGGUGGAGCAUGUGGUUUAAUUCGAAGCAACGCGAAGAACCUUACCAGGUCUUGACAUCCCGAUGCUAUUUCUAGAGAUAGAAAGUCACUUCGGUACAUCGGUGACAGGUGGUGCAUGGUUGUCGUCAGCUCGUGUCGUGAGAUGUUGGGUUAAGUCCCGCAACGAGCGCAACCCCUAUUGUUAGUUGCCAUCAUUCAGUUGGGCACUCUAGCGAGACUGCCGGUAAUAAACCGGAGGAAGGUGGGGAUGACGUCAAAUCAUCAUGCCCCUUAUGACCUGGGCUACACACGUGCUACAAUGGUUGGUACAACGAGUUGCGAGUCGGUGACGGCAAGCUAAUCUCUUAAAGCCAAUCUCAGUUCGGAUUGUAGGCUGCAACUCGCCUACAUGAAGUCGGAAUCGCUAGUAAUCGCGGAUCAGCACGCCGCGGUGAAUACGUUCCCGGGCCUUGUACACACCGCCCGUCACACCACGAGAGUUUGUAACACCCGAAGUCGGUGAGGUAACCUUUUGGAGCCAGCCGCCUAAGGUGGGAUAGAUGAUUGGGGUG